GUCUCUCCUUCCUCGUUCCCCACCGCGCCGUCACACAGGAGAGCAGGCAUGGCCUCGGUCCCGACCCCGCGCCCGAUCCCCAUCACCUGCACCCCCGCCUUGUGCGUCGUCAGACUCACUGGCGGAGGACUCCAAUGGGCAAGGGCUGGCGGCCGCCAUACCUUGAAUCAUUGGUCGCGUACCUACGUGUGGUUCUGCCUAGCCGUGCAUGCGCUGCUCCAAGGAAGAUCGAUCAAGCUACCAAUCAAGCUGUUAGGUUGCUUGCUUCUUCUAGCUUUGAACGUACACGUACAUAUGUACAACUUCCGGUGGACUUGUUCUAGGGCUUUAGAAGCCAACGCUCAACUUCGCAUCCUUCACAGCCAGUAGAACGCAGUGCGGCGUAGCGUCGUCCCCAACUGAAAGUGAAGGGGAUAGCAAAGCCAAAGGGGAGGGGUAUAUCUCUAAAUUUCAGUAGCAUCUUUUAGUAGCUUGUAAUAUACAAUUGUAAUGAUUUUAGAUUUUUAUUCACAAUUUAGUGUUGUGAACUAUAUAUUUGAAAAAAAUAUUUCGAAGUACUUGGUAGUAGCAGACUAGCAGUAGCUCCAUUUCAUGCACCUAUGUGCUUCGACACAUGCCACUCAUCAAGGUCAAGUGAAUUUCACGGAAGAAGAGCAUGUAUAUUCUGUUGAGAAUCACAUGAAAAUAUAAAUGUGCGCGCAUUGUUAGUG